GACGAACCGUGCGAACGUUGUUCGGAAUCACUGGGCUUAAAGGGCGCGUAGGCGGGCAGUCGAGUCCGGGGUGAAAUCUUUCGGCUUAACCGGAAAAGGGCCUCGGAGACCGGCUGCCUCGAGGGAGGUAGGGGCAUGCGGAACUUCCGGUGGAGCGGUGAAAUGCGUUGAUAUCGGAAGGAACGCCGGUGGCGAAAGCGGCGUGCUGGACCUCUGCUGACGCUGAGGCGCGAAAGCCAGGGGAGCGAACGGG
rnacentral:rRNA from 1 species